GGCCUUGCAUCUAAGGCCAUCUACUAAAAUUGAAAUGGUACAGAGAUUAGCAUAACCUUGCACAAGGAUGGCAGAUGCCUUCAUCAAGCAGCUCAUUCAAUA
ensembl:snRNA U6 U6 spliceosomal RNA